GAGUUUGAUUAUGGCUCAGAUUGAACGCUGGCGGCAGGCUUAACACAUGCAAGUCGAACGGUAGCAGGAGAAAGCUUGCUUUCUUGCUGACGAGUGGCGGACGGGUGAGUAAUGCUUGGGAAUCUGGCUUAUGGAGGGGGAUAACUACUGGAAACGGUAGCUAAUACCGCGUAAUAUCGAGAGAUUAAAGACUGGGACCUACGGGCCAGUUGCCAUAAGAUGAGCCCAAGUGGGAUUAGGUAGUUGGUGGGGUAAAGGCCUACCAAGCCCGCGAUCUCUAGCUGGUCUGAGAGGAUGACCAGCCACACUGGAACUGAGACACGGUCCAGACUCCUACGGGAGGCAGCAGUGGGGAAUAUUGCACAAUGGGGGGAACCCUGAUGCAGCCAUGCCGCGUGAAUGAAGAAGGCCUUCGGGUUGUAAAGUUCUUUCGGUGGUGAGGAAGGUAUCAACUUUAAUAGAGUUGGU
rnacentral:rRNA from 1 species